ACACACAGAAGAGCCAAGCAGCUGACUCACACACCAUGCCGCAGUUGCCUUGACUUUGUUCACGUAGGCUCAGCAGCUUGAGACUGCAGCCCCAGAAUCGGCAGUGUCCUCAGUUGGCACCCAGAGGAGCUGUUGCAUUCUCCCCUUUAUUGUGGAGAUGGCUGCAGCAGGUGCUCUUGUCCUGGGGGAAGACAGCCAUUGAGAUUGGCAGAGGCUUAAGUAUGAAGUCAAAGGCAACACCUGAUAUCAGAAAGGGCCCAGGCAGCAGUGGGGAAGUCCUCAGCUGGAUCUUUGAGCCUUGGACGGAAUCAGCAGCAGGCUCAUAGGUUGAAGGAACUCAUUUCCAGAUGAGACUUUGGACUUUGGAGUUAAUGCUGAAAUGAGUUAAGACUUUGGGGGACUAUUGAGAAGAGAGGACUAUAUUUUGCAAUGUGAAAAGGACAUGACAUUUGAGGGACCAAGGUGGAAUGACGUGCCCCUGCCAAAUCUCAUGUUGAAUUGUAAUCCUCAGUGUUGGAAUUGGGGUCUGGGGGGGGAUGUUUGAGUCAUGGGGGUGGAUCUCUCAUGGUUUGGUGCUGUCUUUGCAUUAUCAAGUGAGUUCUCACAAGAUCUGGUUGUUAGCCUGACCAACAUGGUGAAACCCUAUCUCAACUAAAAAUACAAAAAUUAGCGGGGCAUGGUGGCAUGCGCCUAUAAUCCCAGCUACUCAGGAGGCUGAGGCAGGAGAAUCGCUUGAACCAGGGAGGCAGAGGUUGCAGUGAGCCAAGAUCACGCCAUUGCACUCCAGCUUGGGUGACAGAGCGAAACUCCGUCUCAAAAAAAAAAAAAAAGUGUAUAGCACCUUCCCUUCACUCUCUCUCUUGCUCCCAGUCCUGCCAUAUGAGAUGCCUGUUCCCUCUUUGCCUUCUUCCAUGAUUGUAAGCUUCCUAAGGCCUCCCCAAAAGCAGAUGCCAGCACUAUGCUUCCUGUACAGCCUGAAGAACUGUGAACCAAUUAAACCUCUUUUCUUUAUAAAUU
rnacentral:lncRNA from 1 species